UACGUAGGGGGCGAGCGUUAUCCGGAUUUAUUGGGCGUAAAGAGCGUGUAGGCGGCCAUACAGGUCAGCUGUGAAAACUCGAGGCUCAACCUCGAGACGUCGGUUGAAACCGUAUGGCUAGAGUCCGGAAGAGGAGAGUGGAAUUCCCGGUGUAGCGGUGAAAUGCGCAGAUAUCGGGAAGAACACCCGUGGCGAAGGCGGCCCUCUGGGUCGUUGCUGACGCUGAUACGCGAAAGCGUGGGGAGCAAACAGG
rnacentral:rRNA from 1 species